rnacentral:lncRNA from 1 species
CCCCUUUUUAUUUGCCCCCCCCCCAUAGUGGGACCCUGAGGUCCCAAUUUUCAGUCUUCAUUUUCGGCCCUGAUUUUGGGUCCCGCUUCUGCUGCUCCUUAUUUUCAGUCCCCAUUUUGAGUCCCAAUUUCCAGUUCUGAUUUUCAGCCCCAGUUUUCAGUUCUGGUUCUGCUUCCAGGUUCUGCUCCAGAUUUUCCGUCCGGAUUUUCAGUCCAGGUUCUGCUCCGUAUUUUCAGUCCCAUUUUCAGCCCAGGUUCUGUUCUGUGUUUUCAGAUCCAAUUUUCAGUCCCAAUUUUCAGCCCAGGUUCUGCUCCGUAUUUUCAGAUCCAAUUUUCACUCCCAAUUUCUCAUCCCCAUUUUCAGCCCUGAUUUUUGGUCCUGGUUCUGCUUCAUAUUUUCAGUCCCAAUUUUCAGUCCCCAUUUUGGGUCCCAGUUCUGUUCCGGACUUCCAGUCCCGGGUUUCAAUCCCAAUUCUGCUCCGGAUUUUCAGAUCCAAUUUUCAGUCUCAAUUUUCAGCCCCAAUUUUCAGUCUUGACUUUGGGUCCCAGUUCUGCUCUGUAUUUUCAGUCCUAAUUUUCAGUCCCAAUUUUCAGCCCCAAUUUUCAGGCCUGAUUUUCAGUCCCAAUUUUGGGUCCGGACUCUGCUCCAGAUUUUCAGCUCCAGAUUUUCAGCCCCAAUUUUCAGUUCUGAUUUUGGGUCCCGGUUCUGCUCCGUAUUUUCAGCCCACAUUUUCAUUACCAAUUUUCUGUUCCAGUUCUGCUCCACAUUUUCAGUCCCGAUUUUCAGUCCCAGAGUUCGAUCCCAAUGUUCAGAUCCCAUUUUCAGCCCUGAUUUUGGGUCCCAGUCCUGCUCUGGAUUUUCAGUCCCAAUUUUCAACCCCAAUUCUGCUCCGUAUUUUCAGUCCUGAUUUUCAGCCCUGA